rnacentral:ncRNA from 2 species
CAGGAGUCCGGGUGCAAAUCCCGGAUGGCGAGCCCGGCCGCUGACCUGCCGGGGUAAC